ensembl:lncRNA
UGGUUAAUCAUGACACGAAACAGAGAACAGUUCAUCUUUAAAUUCUGAACUGAAUGUCAAUGCAUCUUUUGAACAGAUCAAGUUCAAUUGGAAAUGACAGCAUCGUUCCCGACUCCGUCUUCCUCUCUCUCUUCUUUAUUGCUGCACCUGUGCUCUUUAGACAAGAGUGCUUUCAGAGCUCUACAAGUGUGUUUCCAUCCAUACUGACUGACUGUUUGUGAGGGAAAAGUAUCAUUUUGCAAAUGUCUUCGCAUUCACAUAUAACUCCUGCUCUGUAAAAGUGCCAUAAACUGGGAUAGAGCGAAGAUAUCCGACCCCCAGUGCUUUCCCGCUUCACGGAAGAUCUCGCACAGAUAAAGUUGCUGGAAGUCAUUAGAGCAUAUGGGUUUACAGAGCUGGAGAAACGUUCCUGCCCUCAACACGUCCAAGAGCAACAACCGGGCAGCGGGCGUUUCCCUGUCCCGCGAGGAGACAUUUGCUCUUUUAUUGAGCUCAAGAUGCCCUAAAAUCAGUUUAUUUUCAGGAAUGGAAAGCUGCCUGUUUCAAUAAAAGUUUUUAUUUCCAGUGUCCUCAAUAGCAUCCUUCCAGCUACCAACAACACCACGUUAUCACUGUCUGAUUUAUCCAUCAUGGUUGAUACCAAGAACGUACUGUGCAAACAGGUGAACUAAAGUGAAAUACAUAUCCAAUGUAUCUGUCGCAUGUUUAAACAGAUGAUGAAAAAGAUUUUGUAAGGGACUUUUCUUUCUGUUUUAGAUGUUCGAAGUUCGAAGUUCCGAUCUGAAUCAAAAGAUCCAUAAACCCACUCCGUAGAUCCGAUCUAUCCACCCUCUGUCCCGAUCUGAAUAAUGAUUCGCGAACCAUCAUUUCAAAUCGGUCCUCGAAAGUUUGGAGGUUUCGAUCUGAAUCAAAAGAUUUGCAAUACGCAAAGUUCUGAUCCAAAUCAAAUGAUUCGCGAUCCGAUUCGAAUCUGAAUCGAAAGAUUCGCGAUAUGCGAAAUUCCAAACCAAACGAGUCAUCUCAUACCAUUGAAGAUAAUGUUAAAAGUAUCAAAAUGAC